UACUACUUUAUUAUUUAGCAAUAUUGCGUUGUUGUAAUACUCCAAGAAGUGACAUGGGUUACUCAAAACAUGCAACUUACUUUUAUAAAAACCGAUUAGGCAGAGGAAGGUUGAAUAAUAAAAAAAUAAAUCAAUAAGAUGCGAAAAAUAGAAGAAGAUAAAGGAGACGUAUAUUUUUAUAAUAGUUCACAAAAAAUUGAUCCUAUUUCUAUUUCUCCCUUACAAAAAGAAUUUACCUCAGUAAAGUCGAGGACUUAAUCCACUAUUUCCAUAUAUAGCAUAAAGGUAUUCUUCACUCUGCCUUUUUAGGCGUUUAGUAUUUUUCUCUAGCCUCUCCAAAUUGUCUUCAUCAAAACCUUCUUCAACUUAUGGCAUCUUGCCAUUGAGGUUCACGAGAGUCGUGGUACCUUUUCACGUACCUCUUAGGGGUGAGAAGGUUGUUGCCACUAUCGGGCUAAUUUACAUCAGUUUUAGUUUGUGUCUGAUUUGACACAUAGUUUGUUUUUCGGAUUCUUACUCUCAUUGAGAGUAUGUUAUAGAUCAAGUCUUAUAUCAGUACAAGUGUGAGAGAACUAGAUAUAUGAACAAGUAGUAGAUUUAAGAUGUUGAUCAAAGGAAACACAAUUGCUUCGUCUUCUUUGGAAUGUUGAAUUUCAUCAUAGCGUUUACUUCUUUUAUAUCAUUGAUUUCCAUCAGUACAGAGAAUCACUCGUUUGUCAAGCUUAUUAAAGGCAAUUGAUUACUUGCUUUAUUAAUCGUAUCAGAGGUAGACGAGCUAAGAAUAACUGAAACAUAAUGUAUCAUGUAUUUCUAGAGUCACUAGAACUAGAACAUUGCUUGCGUUAUAAGAGUCAGUCAAAACACAACAUUGCUUUGCAUCGCUGGAAGCGUGUGUUACAACACUUGCGUCAAAAUCAAACAAAUUUAAUGAAGUAGAGUCUUGUUGUUCCUUUGUCUUCAUACAAUCACCAGAGGAUAUAACUUAAAUCAAGAGGCCGACAAAGGAUAAUACAGUCCGUCCAAAUAAGAAAAUGUGACUGUUUCUUAAAAGAGAAUAUGAGUAGAGCUUCUUCAAAGUUUCAACGAGAAGAAUCAACAAACGAUGUCCAUUUUUUUCAAUGAUCAACACGGAGGCCAAAAAAGGAUAAUACAGUCCGUCCAUUUUUACAAAGAUAAUUUUUAAGACAAUAAAAGAGAAUAUGCAUACCGAAACUAUAUUAUAUUAUUUUUACCCAAGGACAAGAAAACUUGCUUGAUUGGAGAAAUUUUUUUUUGGUUUUUUUUUUAUUCCUAAAUUCAAUUCAAGUCCCCAUCUUUUUGUUUCUUUAACAAAAAAUUUAACUUAAUUGAAAAAAAAAUCAUAGCUGAAUUAAAAAAUUAAAUUUGAACGGACACUAUCUUAAAUAAGUGUUACGUUUUAAAUCGUAAUUUCUAUAUCAAUAUUUACAUGUCCUUUUGAAGGUGCUUUUGCCAAAAGGUUUGCCUUAAUUUAAUUUGAAAUUUGACUCUUGGCACAAAAUAAGGACAUCUUAAUUCCAUAUAUAUAUAGAGAAUACUACUUUAUUAUUUAGCAAUAUUGCAUUGUUGUAAUACUCCAAGAAGUGACAUGGGUUACCCCAAACAUGCAACUUACUUUUAUAAAAACGGAUUAGGCAGAAUAAGUUUGAAUAAUAAAUAAAUAAAUAAGAUGCGAAAAAUAGAAGAAGAUAAAUGAGACGUAUAUUUUUAUAAUAGUUCACAACAAAUUGUUCCUAUUUCUAGUUCCCUUUACAAAGAGAUUUUACUUCAGUAAAGUCGGGGACUUAAUCCACUAUUUCCAUAUAUAGCAUAAAAGUAUUAUUUACUCUACCUUUUUAGGCUUUUAGUAUUUUUCUCUAGCCUCUCCAGGUUGUCUUAAUCAAAAUCUUCUUCAACUUUAUGGCAUCUUGCGAUUGAGGUUCACGAGAGUCGUGGUACCUUUUCACGUACCUCUUAGGGGUGAGAAGGUUUUUGCCACUAUCGGGCUAAUUUACAUCAGUUUUAGUUUGUGUCUGAUUUGACACAAAGUUUGUUUUUCGGAUUCUAACUCUCAUUGAGAGUAUGUUAUAGAUCAAGUCCUAUAUUAUUACAAGUGUGAGAGAACUAGAUAUAUGAACAAGUAGUAGAUUCAAGAUGUUGAUCAAAGGAAAAACAAUUGCUUCGUCUUCUUUGGAAUGUUGAAUUUCAUCAUAGCAUUUACUUCUUUUAUAUCAUUGAUUUCCUUCAGUGCAGAGAAUCACUCGUUUGUCAAGCUUAUUAAAGGCAAUUGAUUACUUGCUUUAUCAAUCGUAUUAGAGGUAGACGAGCUGAGAUUAACUGAAACAUAAUGUAUCAUGUAUUUUUAGAGUCACUAGAACUAGAACAUUGCUUGUGUUAUAAGAGUCAGUCAAAACGCAACAUUGCUUUGCGUCGAUGGAAGCGUGUGUUACAACACUUUGGUCAAAAUCAAACAAAUUGAAUGAAGUAGAGUCUUGUUAUUCCUCUGUCUUCGUCCAAUCACCAGAGGAUAUAACUUAAAUCAAGGUAACAUUUGAGUUUGAACUAAUACUUGCAAUAUUAUGUCUUCCUCCAAUAGUAGACAUAGUUACUUGUAUAUUAGGAUAUAAUAGUCUGUAUAUAAGAAACACUUAGAUUAUUGUCUCUAUUUUACUUGGAACUUAUGUUACUCUAAGAUGAAUAGUCAUUAAUAUAACUCUUUGUGUUCUAACUUAAUAUGCACACUUUGCAAA